rnacentral:misc_RNA from 1 species
CAGUGCUGCUCAUAACUUGGAAAGAAGCAGAAAAAGAAAAAUACUUACAAUACUAUUAUUUUAUUUUUCUUGAGUGAAAAGAGACUUUUGUGUUUUGUUAUUAUUAGUUGUGUUAUUGAAAAUCGGAUUUGGAAUUCCGGGACUUAAUAAUAAGGGAUUGGAAAAGCGGAAAAGUGCAUGAUGUUAUAUUAGAGUUCCUUGGCGCCAAGAAGGAAUGAGAGUGAGGAUGAAGAGGAAGCGAAUCUCCCUGUUGUUAGUAGUGGACUCCUUAGCCUUGUUGUCCCUCUGCUGCUUUUCCUUGACAAAGGCCUCAGAUCCUAUUCAAGUGUCAGCCUCAGCCCAGCCUGGAGAUGUUCUUCAUCGAUUCUCCGUUCCUAAAUACCGGCAUGAACUAAUUUCAGAGCCUCCUGGACUUGUUUUUAUGGACCAUGGAGUGAGCCUCGUUCUUGGACAGGGAAACCUCUCUCACUAUUCCGAAGUUGGACUCUGUCUUCGAAACAAUGGCUCUGAAGAGAAAGUGUCCCUUUCAGUUCGGAAAAUCCCUUCACUCUUCCAUCAUCACUAUGUGGGAUAUAUUCAAGAAAACGAUCCUCCGGGAACUCCCGCACUCCUCCGUCCCUUGCCUCUUCUCUCAAGUCCUUUACAUACUCCAUUCCAACUCACGGAUUUGGACUUGAGCAACAAUCCUCCACCUUUCGAUGUCAUAUUUCAUCCCUCAGAUCUCACGCUUUCCCUCAUAUCCACCAAAUCCCUAGACUACGAAAGACAACCAUUAUAUAGACUUCGUUUAUCAUUCCAUAAUAAUAGUAAUAGCGAUGCAGCACUCCUUGAGAUCCAUGUCCAGAAUGAGGAUGAUCAUAUACCUAUUUUUGAAAGGUCCACAUAUACCUUCAACUUUAGGAAAGAUAUGAGACCAAAUACAUUAAUUGGAAGCAUCCACGCUCUUGAUGCUGACGGAGAUACAAUCCUCUAUCGUUUUGCUGAUGCAAAUGUCAAGUGUUGUUUAUUAGUUCCAUUAUCAGGGGAAAUUCUCGUUACGCGUCCUGAUCUUCUCCAAGAUAGUACUAUCUCUCUUCCCGUCCUUGCAUAUCAAAAGUAUCAUACCGAACGCUUUGCCUCUGCUCGUGUACUUAUAAUUACUCACAAAGAAAAAAAGUUCCAACAUCGGGUUAAAGCCUUAAAGCAACGUAAAAGAGUGAAGCGACGGGUUACAAGGGCUGUCCGUCCUACUAAAAGAGCCGAAUUUACAGAAGCUGACGGUGAACCAGAGGGGAAAAUUGUGUUUCAGCUUGAGAAGGAAUCUGAGCAUGAAACUUUUAAAAUUAGAGACGAAAAUCCUUGGGUAACUGUCGAACCAAAUGGAGCAGUUCGUGUUAAGAAAAAGUGGGACUAUGAAGAAUUAGGAAGAGAAAAGAAUAUCGACUUCUGGGUUAUUAUUACUAAUGUUGGAGGCUCUGGUCAUAACGAAUGGAGAGGAUUGCAUUAUACGGAUAAUCAAAGAGUGAUCAUUAAGGUGAAGGAUGUCAAUGAUGAGCCACCUUACUUUAUUAAUCGGCCUCUUCCUAUGCAAGCUGUAGUGAAACUUAAUGCAUUACCAAACACACCAGUUUUCACUUUGCAAGCAAAAGAUCCUGAUACAGAUCACAAUCUUCAUUAUUUUCUCGUAAGAGAUAGAACAGGUGGUCGUUUUGAAGUUGAUGAAAGAUCUGGUAUUGUGAGGUCUAGGGGUAGUGAACCAUUUCAAUUGGAUAUGGAGUAUGUUCUUUAUGUUAAAGCCGAAGAUCAAAAUGGGCGUAAUGGCCGUCGGUUUCAAUCUACUCCAGAAGAAAGACUUUCCAUUGUUGGUGGGAAAAGGCCUCCUCAAUUUUAUAUGCCUUCCUAUGAAGCUGAAAUCCCAGAAAGCCAAAAGAAAGACUCAGAUAUUAUUUCUGUAAAGGCCAAAUCCUUUGCAGAAAGAGAAAUACGUUACACUCUUAAAGCUCAGGGACAAGGAGCAGGAACCUUUAAUAUAGGACCAUCUUCUGGAAUUGUAAAAUUAGCAAAAGAAUUAGAUUUUGAGGAUUUGAGACAACCUCAUAUUUAUCAAUUGUUGGUAACCGCAACUGAAGAUUCUGGAGGUUUUUCUACUUCAGUUGAAUUGACGAUCAGGGUAUCUGAUGUCAAUGAUAAUGCUCCAAAAUUUGAGCUUCCAGACUAUCAAGCCCAUAAUGUACAUGAGGACAUUCCCAUUGGGUCUUCCAUUCUUCAGGUCAAAUCCUCAGACUCAGAUUCUGGCACAAAUGCUAAUAUUGAAUAUUAUGUAUCUGAUGACCAUUUUAUGGUUAGUUCUAAUGGAGUCAUUUCCAAUAACUUACGUUUAGAUGCUGAUAGUAACAAUGCAAAUUAUGAAUUCAUAGUCACAGCAAAAGAUAAGGGCGAACCUCCUAGAACAGGAACCGCAACGGUUAGGAUUUAUACUGAAAACAAAAAUGACGAAGAACCUAAAUUUUCACAACAAGUUUACACUCCAAAUGUCGACGAGAAUGCCGGUCCUAAUACUUUAGUUACAACUGUUGUUGCCUCAGAUAAGGACGGUGAUGGAGUUACGUUUGGAUUUGUUGGCGGAAUGACUCAAUCGGGACUCUUUCGUAUCGAAGAAAAUACUGGUGUUAUACGAUUGAUUUCUGGGGAUAUCAAAUUAGAUCGGGAUAAAUACGAACUAAAUGUUACUGCGAUGGAUGAUGGAAAAUGCUGUAUUGAGUCUGGGAUGACUGUAGAUCAAGCUUCCCUUCAUACUUCUACUGCUGUUGUGGUUGUAUUCAUAACUGAUGUCAAUGACAACAAGCCUAUAUUCCAAGAUUGUUCUUCGUAUGCCCCCAAAAUUGAAGAAUCAGCCCCGAAUGGAGCCCCUGUGAUAAAAGUCAAUGCAGUUGAUAAAGAUAAAGGUGUAAAUGGACAAGUUCGUUAUUCAAUUGUUCAACAGCCCAAUCAAAAGGGUACGAAAUUUAAUGUAAAUGAAGAAACUGGGGAACUGUUUACGAAUAAAGUGUUUGAUCGAGAAGGGGAGGAUGGAAAAUUUGUGAGCGUGACGGUUAAAGCUGUUGAUUCUGGAGAGCCCUCACUUGAAGGAGUAUGUUCCUUUACAGUAGAAAUAACGGAUGUCAAUGAUAAUCCUCCAUUGUUUGACAGACAGAAAUACGUCGAAAACGUAAAACAGGAUACGAAUGUAGGAACCAAUAUUUUAAGGGUAUCUGCUUCGGAUGAAGAUGCAGACAAUAAUGGAGCAAUAAUAUAUAGUCUCACAGCACCCUUUGAUCCUGCUGAUUUAGACUAUUUUGAUAUUCAACCAGAGUCUGGUUGGAUUUAUCUGAGAAAACCACUCGACCGAGCAACUUUUCGUAUACGUGUUCAAGCCUCAGAUAUGGGAGCUCCUCCUUUACAUGCUGAUGUGGAUGUUGAACUUGAUGUAGUUGAUCGAAAUAACAAUCCUCCAAUUUGGGAGCAGCAAACUUAUGGUCCUGUUUAUGUGAGAGAGAAUGCGCCCCCAGGUGAAAUAGUCACCACUGUGAGGGCAAGUUCUGGAAUUGAGGAUAAUCCAACAGUAUUUUAUCGCUUGAUAAGGGGUUCCACAGAUCAAACAAAUAAGUUUGAUACUUUCUAUUUGCAACAACGGCAGCAAAAUGGUUGGACCUACGCUGAUGUAAAAGUUAAUCACCCUCUUGAUUAUGAAAGAAUAAAAGAGUAUAAUUUGACCAUUCGUGUAGAAAACAAUGGAGCCCAACAAUUAGCUAGUGAAGCUACAAUAUUCAUUGUAUUAGAGGACGUGAAUGAUGAAAUCCCUCUUUUUACUGAGAGAGAGCAGGAAACUGUUCUUGAGGGUGAACCUAUUGGAACAAUCGUUACUCGAGUAAACGCCAUAGAUAAGGACGGCACUUUUCCUAAUAAUCAAGUGUACUAUUACAUUGUUGAAAAUAGUGACGGGAAAAACUAUUUUAAGAUUAAUAGCCAGACUGGUGAGGUUGCAACAAAGGUUAUUUUUGAUAGGGAAUCCCAAGGUGCUUACGCUUUGGAAGUUGAAGCUAGAGACGGAGCACCUUCUGCUAGACCAAACUCUGGAGGACAACCUAAUUCGGUUAAUAAAUUUAUACGUAUUGGUAUUGCUGAUAAAAAUGACAAUCCUCCUUAUUUCGAUAAACAUUUAUAUGAGGCUGAAGUUGACGAAAAUGAAGAUAUUCAGCAUACAGUGUUAACUGUAACAGCAAAUGACAAAGAUGAAUCUUCUCGAAUUCGAUACGAAAUUACUCGUGGUAACUUUGGAGGAGCGUUUGCUGUGAAAAAUAUGACGGGUGCAAUAUAUGUUGCAGGACCAUUAGAUUAUGAAACCAGGAAACGAUACGAACUAAGACUUGUGGCAUCGGAUAAUUUGAAUGAAAAUUACACUACUAUUGUCAUUCAUGUGAAUGAUGUAAAUGAUAACCCUCCAGUAUUUGACCGGCCAACUUAUGAAACUCAAAUUACUGAAGAAGAUGAUAGAAAUUUACCCAAACGUGUUCUUCAGGUUACUGCUACGGAUGGAGAUAAAGAUAGGGAGCAUAACAUUGUUUAUUUUCUCACUGGUCAAGGAAUUGAUGCCGAUCAACCGGAUCAAUCUAAAUUCGAUAUCAAUCGAACAACAGGAGAAAUUUUUGUACUCAAGCAAUUAGAUCGAGAUGAGCCUAGUGGUAGACCUCAAUGGAGAUUCACAGUUUUUGCUCAAGAUGAUGGAGGAAGUGGCCUGGUUGGCUAUGCGGAUGUACAAGUUAAUUUGAAAGACAUCAAUGAUAAUGCACCGUUAUUCACUCAUGGAGUAUAUUAUGGCAAUGUAACGGAAAAUGGAACUGCUGGUAUGAUGGUUAUGACGAUGACAGCAACUGACUUUGAUGAUGUUGACGAAGGAACUAAUGCAAAACUAAAAUAUUCUAUUGAGAAAAAUGUUAUCGAUGAGAAUACUGGAACUCCUAUUUUUGAAAUUGAAGAAGAAACCGGAGUAAUAAAAACCGCAGUGUGUUGCUUGGAUCGUGAAAAAACCCCUGAUUAUUCUAUUCAAAUAGUAGCAAUGGAUGGGGGCGGGCUCAAAGGUACUGGAACAGCCUCCAUACGAGUCAAAGAUAUCAAUGAUAUGCCGCCUAGUUUUACAAAAGACGAGUGGAUGACUGAAGUGGAUGAAAUAGAUGGAAAUUUACUCCCUGAUGCUCCUAUACUGACAGUUACAGUUCAUGAUGAAGAUGAAAGCAAUAAAUUUCAUUAUAAAGUAAUUGAAUCGAGUGGGUUUGGUGCAGAUAAGUUUACUAUGGUUCGUAAUAAUGACGGUACCGGAUCAUUGAAAGUUGUUCAGUCACUCGACUUUGAGGAUCAACUUCAGCGACAGGGUUUUAGAUUUCGAAUUCAAGUCAAUGACAAAGGAGAAGAUAAUGAUAACGAUAAGUAUCAUGUUGCGUACUCAUGGGUCGUUGUCAAAUUGAGGGACAUAAAUGACAAUAAGCCAGUGUUUGAAAAAUCAAAUAUCGAAUCUUUGGUCAGAGAAAACGCCCGAGUAGGAAAAUCACUUGAGCGGUUCAGAGCUUCUGAUCCAGAUCAAGGUGGACAUAGUAGGGUCACUUAUUCAAUUGACAGAUCAUCUGAUAGGAGAAGACAAUUCUCUAUAGCUAAAGAUGGCACAGUCUCGAUUCAAAGGCAACUUGAUCGUGAAACAUCUCCAGCCCAUCAAAUUAAAAUUUUGGCCAUUGAUGACGGAGAUCCACCCAAAACUGCUACUGCAACGCUCACGGUUAUUGUUCAUGAUAUCAAUGAUAAUGCUCCUCGGUUCUUAAAGAAUUAUCGACCUGUUCUACCUGAGCAUAGUGCUCCUCGUAAAGUUGUUGAAGUGCUCGCUACUGAUGAUGACGAUCGAUCCAAAGGCAAUGGACCUUCUUUUACAUUUCGAAUGGAUCCUAAUGCAGAAGAUAUCAUUAGAGCAUCCUUCAAAGUGGAGCAUGAUCCAAAGGGUGCUAAUGGUGAUGGAAUGGCUGUUGUAUCUUCUUUGCGAUCAUUUGACCGUGAAACGCAAAAGGAGUACCUAGUUCCUAUCGUCAUUAAGGAUAGCGGAAACCCAUCCAUGUCUGGAACUUCUACUCUAACUGUGGUGAUAGGUGAUUCUAAUGACAAUAAAAUGCAACCUGGGUCCAAGGAUAUUAUGGUUUAUAACUAUAUGGGCCAGGCUCCAUCGAGUGGAAUUGGUUCAGUUUAUGUUUAUGAUCGAGAUGAUUGGGACUUGCCCGACAAAACAUUCAGCUGGAGUGAUGGAAAGCCUCAGUAUCCCUACUUUUCUCUUAACAAAGAAACGGGUCUUAUUACAAUGAAACAUGGAAUACUUGAGGGCCGCUACGUUCUGAGAUUCAAAGUCUACGACCGUAAACACACUCAAACUGAUGUACCUGCUAAUGUAACAGUAGUAGUCAAAGAAAUAUCGCACGAAGCGGUAAUUAAUUCAGGAUCAUUUAGAAUUGUGGGUCUCACUGAUGAAGACUUUGUGCGCAUUUGGAAGGAACAAAAAGUAGUGAAGAGUAAACUUCAGCUUUUUAAAGAAAAAUUGGCUUCAGUCUUACCUGAGCAAGUUCAAAUAGACGAUAUUGACGUUUUUAGUGUCAUGAUUCAUUCAAAAUAUCCAGAAACUACGGAUGUUAGAUUUUCGGUUCGAGGAUCCGCAUAUUAUAAACCAGUUAAACUUAAUGGUAUUCUUUUGCGUCACAGAGAAGAAUUUGAAUCAGAACUUGGAAUAAAUAUAACCAUGGUUGGAAUUGAUGAAUGUUUGUAUGAAAAUGAAAAUUGUGAAGGAAGUUGUACAAAUUCAUUAGAUAUAUCCAACUUACCAUAUACUGUAAAUUCCAAUAAGACUGCUUUAGUUGGUGUUAGGGUUGAGGUAGUUGCCGAAUGUGUUUGUGGAGCUAGAAAUUUUGAAAAAGCCGAAAGUUGUCUAACUCAUGUAUGCUAUAAUGGAGGUCGGUGUUUAGAAGGAAGAUGGGGAGUUCGUUGCCAAUGCCCAAGAGGCUAUGAAGGUCCAAGAUGCCAACAAACUACAAGAACCUUUUGGGGAAAAGGAUGGGCCUGGUAUCCUCCAUUAGAAUUAUGUGAGCAAUCUCAUCUCUCAAUUGAAUUUUUAACUAGAAAACCAGAUGGAGUUCUGCUUUACAAUGGUCCCAUUGUUCCUCCAGAACCCGAAGAACAAUUAAUAUCAGAUUUUAUAUCUCUUGAAUUAGUUAAAGCUCAUCCGAGGCUCUUGGUUGACUUUGGUUCAGGAACACUAGAGCUUAGAAUCGAACCUACCAAAACUCGAUUAGAUGAUGGAAGUUGGCAUCGAAUAGAUAUAUUUUGGGAUCGUGAGCAAGUGCGUAUGGUGUUAGAUUUCUGCCGUUCUUCGGUUGUAGUAGAACAUGAAGAUGGAUCUCCUACUGAGUUUGAUGAUAGUAGUUGUCAAGUUAAAGGGGAUGUUCCUCCAUUCAAUGAGUAUUUGAACGUCAAUACGCCAUUACAAAUUGGAGGUAUGGCUGCUGAACAAUUUGAUCCUCUUCAUUAUAAAUGGAGUCACACGCCUCUUGGAAAACCUUUUGAUGGCUGCAUACGAAAUAUCAUUCACAAUUCCAAACUCUACGAUCUUGCUGAGCCUGGAUUAUUCAGAUAUUCCAAACCAGGAUGUAUUCCAGUGGAAAAGGCAUGUAAUGAUAAUUACCCUGGUUCACGAUGUGGAGAGCAUGGACACUGUGUCGGUUCCUUGAAACAUCCUACUUGUAAAUGUAACCCGGGCUGGACAGGACAGUUUUGCUCACAUGAAACUAUGCCGAGUACAUUUGAUCCUCAAAGUUAUGUUAAAUAUGCACUUAGUUUUGAACCUGACAGUUUUGCUACAGAAAUUCAAUUAAGAUUUCGUACAAGGGAGGAGCAUGGAGAAUUGUUCAGAGUUUCGGAUCAACAUAAUCGAGAAUAUGGAAUCCUUGAGAUUCAGGAAAGCAAAUUAAGAUUUCGCUAUAACUUAAACUCUUUGAGAACCGAGGAAAAAGAAAUUUGGCUCUCUUCGAUUUAUGUUGAUGAUGGCCAAUGGCAUACUGUUAAAGUGGCAAGAUAUGGUUCGGCUGCCAUUUUAACGUUGGAUGGAGGAGAGAGCCGCAGAUAUAAUGAUUCGUUCAUAUUUGAUGGCCAUCAGUUGAUGACGGUUGACAAGCAGGAAGGUGUUUAUGCCGGUGGAAAAGCUGAAUAUACUGGGGUUCGCACAUUUGAGGUAUACUCUGAUUAUGCUAAAGGUUGUAUGGACGAUAUCCGUCUUGAAGGGAAGCACCUUCCACUACCACCUGCACUUAAUGGAACUCAAUGGGGACAAGCCACUAUGGCUAGAAAUCUUCAAAGAAAUUGCCCAUCAAAUAAUCCUUGUGCAAAUGUAAUUUGUCCGAAACCAUUUGUAUGUGUGGACUUGUGGAUGGAAUAUGAGUGCUCAUGCCCUCGAGGACAACGUGUAACACCUGAUGGUAAGAGCUGUGUUGACCGAAAUGAAUGUCUCGAUAAUCCUUGCCAAAAUAAUGGACAAUGUGUCAAUCGUGAUACAGCAGAACGAUACAUUUGUCAUUGUCCAAGCGGAUUUUCUGGGAGCAAUUGUGAACUAAUGCAAGAAGAGCAAAUUCUUCGCCUCAGUAUGGGGGCUCUGGCAAUAAUACUCUUGUGCCUAUUGUCCAUUUUGAUUGCCGAUCUGGUGAGACAAGAAUCGGAUUUACCGAGUGCAUGGAGGAAAAGAAAUGUAAUUGCGAGAAUGGUGGUAAGUGCCACAUUGACCAGCAAGAUUUUUGCAUUUGUCCUCUCGGUUAUGAAGGAAACCUUUGUCAGAUAGAGGUCACGUCCCUCAUUUUUGGUGGAACUGAUUUCAUUAUUAUGCUCGCAUUUGUUUUGGGAGCUCUUUUAAUUCUAGUCUUAGUUUUUGUUGUGUACAAUCGACGAAGAGAAGCUCAAAUUAAGUAUCCCAAUCCAGAUGAUGAUGUACGGGAAAACAUAAUCAA